UUAAGCGACUAAGCGUACACGGUGGAUGCCUUGGCAGUCAGAGGCGAUGAAGGGCGUGCUAAUCUGCGAAAAGCGCCGGUAAGGUGAUAUGAACCGUUAUAACCGGCGAUACCCGAAUGGGGAAACCCAGUGUGAUUCGUCACACUAUCAUUAACUGAAUCCAUAGGUUAAUGAGGCGAACCGGGGGAACUGAAACAUCUAAGUACCCCGAGGAAAAGAAAUCAACCGAGAUUCCCCCAGUAGCGGCGAGCGAACGGGGAGGAGCCCAGAGCCUGAAUCAGCAUGUGUGUUAGUGGAAGCGUCUGGAAAGGCGCGCGAUACAGGGUGACAGCCCCGUACACAAAAGCGCACGUGCUGUGAGCUCGAUGAGUAGGGCGGGACACGUGGUAUCCUGUCUGAAUAUGGGGGGACCAUCCUCCAAGGCUAAAUACUCCUGACUGACCGAUAGUGAACCAGUACCGUGAGGGAAAGGCGAAAAGAACCCCGGCGAGGGGAGUGAAACAGAACCUGAAACCGUGUACGUACAAGCAGUGGGAGCACAGGUUUACCUGUGUGACUGCGUACCUUUUGUAUAAUGGGUCAGCGACUUAUAUUCUGUAGCAAGGUUAACCGAAUAGGGGAGCCGUAGGGAAACCGAGUCUUAAUUGGGCGUUAAGUUGCAGGGUAUAGACCCGAAACCCGGUGAUCUAGCCAUGGGCAGGUUGAAGGUUGGGUAACACUAACUGGAGGACCGAACCGACUAAUGUUGAAAAAUUAGCGGAUGACCUGUGGCUGGGGGUGAAAGGCCAAUCAAACCGGGAGAUAGCUGGUUCUCCCCGAAAGCUAUUUAGGUAGCGCCUCGUGAAUUCAUCUCCGGGGUAGAGCACUGUUUCGGCCAGGGGGCCAUCCCGGCUUACCAACCCGAUGCAAACUGCGAAUACCGGAGAAUGUUAUCACGGGAGACACACGGCGGGUGCUAACGUCCGUCGUGAAGAGGGAAACAACCCAGACCGCCAGCUAAGGUCCCAAAGUCAUGGUUAAGUGGGAAACGAUGUGGGAAGGCCCAGACAGCCAGGAUGUUGGCUUAGAAGCAGCCAUCAUUUAAAGAAAGCGUAAUAGCUCACUGGUCGAGUCGGCCUGCGCGGAAGAUGUAACGGGGCUAAACCAUGCACCGAAGCUGCGGCAGCGAACGUAUCACUUAAAGCGAUUCAGCGGAUGACGAUUGACGGAGCGAAGCGACGUCAAAGCGUUUUACAACGUCGAGUCGGUUUAAGGAUACGUUCGUUGGGUAGGGGAGCGUUCUGUAAGCCUGCGAAGGUGUGUCGUGAGGCAUGCUGGAGGUAUCAGAAGUGCGAAUGCUGACAUAAGUAACGAUAAUGCGGGUGAAAAACCCGCACGCCGGAAGACCAAGGGUUCCUGUCCAACGUUAAUCGGGGCAGGGUGAGUCGACCCCUAAGGCGAGGCCGAAAGGCGUAGUCGAUGGGAAACAGGUUAAUAUUCCUGUACCUGGUGUUACUGCGAAGGGGGGACGGAGAAGGCUAUGUUGGCCGGGCGACGGUUGUCCCGGUUUAAGCGUGUAGGUGUGUGUUCCAGGUAAAUCCGGUUCACUUUAACACUGAGGCGUGAUGACGAGGCACUACGGUGCUGAAGCAACAAAUGCCCUGCUUCCAGGAAAAGCCUCUAAGCCUCAGGUAACAUCAGAUCGUACCCGAAACCGACACAGGUGGUCAGGUAGAGAAUACCAAGGCGCUUGAGAGAACCCGGGUGAAGGAACUAGGCAAAAUGGUGCCGUAACUUCGGGAGAAGGCACGCUGACACGUAGGUGAAGCGGUUUACCCGUGGAGCUGAAGUCAGUCGAAGAUACCAGCUGGCUGCAACUGUUUAUUAAAAACACAGCACUGUGCAAACACGAAAGUGGACGUAUACGGUGUGACGCCUGCCCGGUGCCGGAAGGUUAAUUGAUGGGGUCAGCGCAAGCGAAGCUCCUGAUCGAAGCCCCGGUAAACGGCGGCCGUAACUAUAACGGUCCUAAGGUAGCGAAAUUCCUUGUCGGGUAAGUUCCGACCUGCACGAAUGGCGUAAUGAUGGCCAGGCUGUCUCCACCCGGGACUCAGUGAAAUUGAACUCGCUGUGAAGAUGCAGUGUACCCGCGGCAAGACGGAAAGACCCCGUGAACCUUUACUAUAGCUUGACACUGAACACUGGUCCUUGAUGUGCAGGAUAGGUGGGAGGCUUUGAAGUGUGGACGCCAGUCUGCAUGGAGCCGUCCUUGAAAUACCACCCUUUAAUGGCUGGUGUUCUAACGUAGGCCCGUGAACCGGGUUGCGGACAGUGUCUGGUGGGUAGUUUGACUGGGGCGGUCUCCUCCUAAAGAGUAACGGAGGAGCACGAAGGUUGGCUAAUCCUGGUCGGACAUCAGGAGGUUAGUGCAAUGGCAUAAGCCAGCUUGACUGCGAGCGUGACGGCGCGAGCAGGUGCGAAAGCAGGUCAUAGUGAUCCGGUGGUUCUGAAUGGAAGGGCCAUCGCUCAACGGAUAAAAGGUACUCCGGGGAUAACAGGCUGAUACCGCCCAAGAGUUCAUAUCGACGGCGGUGUUUGGCACCUCGAUGUCGGCUCAUCACAUCCUGGGGCUGAAGUAGGUCCCAAGGGUAUGGCUGUUCGCCAUUUAAAGUGGUACGCGAGCUGGGUUUAGAACGUCGUGAGACAGUUCGGUCCCUAUCUGCCGUGGGCGCUGGAGAACUGAGGGGGGGCUGCUCCUAGUACGAGAGGACCGGAGUGGACGCAUCACUGGUGUUCGGGUUGUCAUGCCAAUGGCACUGCCCGGUAGCUAAAUGCGGAAGAGAUAAGUGCUGAAAGCAUCUAAGCACGAAACUUGCCCCGAGAUGAGUUCUCCCUGAGACUACAAGUCUCCUGAAGGAACGUUGAAGACGACGACGUUGAUAGGCCGGGUGUGUAAGCGCAGCGAUGCGUUGAGCUAACCGGUACUAAUGAACCGUGAGGCUUAACCUU
rnacentral:rRNA from 1 species